rnacentral:rRNA from 1 species
GACGAACGCUGGCGGCGUGCUUAACACAUGCAAGUCGAACGGAAAGGCCCUGCUUUUGUGGGGUGCACGAGUGGCGAACGGGUGAGUAACACGUGAGUAACCUGCCCUUGACUUUGGGAUAACUUCAGGAAACUGGGGCUAAUACCGGAUAGAAGCUCCUGCUGCAUGGUGGGGGUUGGAAAGUUUCGGCGGUUGGGGAUGGACUCGCGGCUUAUCAGCUUGUUGGUGGGGUAGUGGCUUACCAAGGCUUUGACGGGUAGCCGGCCUGAGAGGGUGACCGGCCACAUUGGGACUGAGAUACGGCCCAGACUCCUACGGGAGGCAGCAGUGGGGAAUAUUGCACAAUGGGCGGAAGCCUGAUGCAGCAACGCCGCGUGCGGGAUGACGGCCUUCGGGUUGUAAACCGCUUUCGCCUGUGACGAAGCGUGAGUGACGGUAAUGGGUAAAGAAGCACCGGCUAACUACGUG